UACGAAGGGGGCUAGCGUUGCUCGGAAUCACUGGGCGUAAGCGCACGUAGGCGGCUUCUUAAGUCAGGGGGUGAAAUCCUGGAGCUCAACUCCAGAACUGCCUUUGAUACUGAGGAGCUUGAGUCGGGAGAGGUGAGUGGAACUGCGAGUGUAGAGGUGAAAAUUCGUAGAUAUUCGCAAGAACACCAGUGGCGAAGGCGGCUCACUGGCCCGGUACUGACGCUGA
rnacentral:rRNA from 1 species